rnacentral:rRNA from 1 species
AGUCGUAACAAGGUCUCCGUAGGUGAACCUGCGGAGGGAUCAUUACACAAAUAUGAAGGCGGGCUGGAACCUCUCGGGGUUACAGCCUUGCUGAAUUAUUCACCCUUGUCUUUUGCGUACUUCUUGUUUCCUUGGUGGGUUCGCCCACCACUAGGACAAACAUAAACCUUUUGUAAUUGCAAUCAGCGUCAGUAACAAAUUAAUAAUUACAACUUUCAACAACGGAUCUCUUGGUUCUGGCAUCGAUGAAGAACGCAGCGAAAUGCGAUAAGUAGUGUGAAUUGCAGAAUUCAGUGAAUCAUCGAAUCUUUGAACGCACAUUGCGCCCUUUGGUAUUCCAAAGGGCAUGCCUGUUCGAGCGUCAUUUGUACCCUCAAGCUUUGCUUGGUGUUGGGCGUCUUGUCUCUAGCUUUGCUGGAGACUCGCCUUAAAGUAAUUGGCAGCCGGCCUACUGGUUUCGGAGCGCAGCACAAGUCGCACUCUCUAUCAGCAAGGGUCUAGCAUCCAUUAAGCCUUUUUUUUCAACUUUUGACCUCGGAUCAGGUAGGGAUACCCGCUGAACUUAAGCAUAUCAAUAUAAAAGUCG